CCCUUAGAUGUUCUGGGCCGCACGCGCGCUACACUGAUGCAUUCAACGAGUUUCUUCCUGGUCCGAGAGGAAUGGGUAACCUUUUGAAAGUGCAUCGUGAUAGGGAUAGACUAUUGCAAUUAUUGGUCUUCAACGAGGAAUUCCUAGUAGACGUAGUUCAUCAGACUGCAUCGAUUACGUCCCUGCCCUUUGUACACACCGCCCGUCGCUCCUACCGAUUGAGCAUCCCGGUGAAGACUCAGGAGAUAUGUACGUGGCUGGUCUCCAGCUGCGUUGCGUGCCGAAUUUGUCUAAACCUUGAUGCUUAGAGGAAGGAGAAGUCGUAACA
rnacentral:rRNA from 1 species